GAUGAACGCUGGCGGCGUGCCUAAUACAUGCAAGUCGAGCGAACAGACGAGGAGCUUGCUCCUCUGACGUUAGCGGCGGACGGGUGAGUAACACGUGGAUAACCUACCUAUAAGACUGGGAUAACUUCGGGAAACCGGAGCUAAUACCGGAUAAUAUAUUGAACCGCAUGGUUCAAUAGUGAAAGACGGUUUUGCUGUCACUUAUAGAUGGGUCCGCGCCGCGUUAGCUAGUUGGUAAGGUAACGGCUUACCAAGGCAACGAUGCGUAGCCGACCUGAGAGGGUGAUCGGCCACACUGGAACUGAGACACGGUCCAGACUCCUACGGGAGGCAGCAGUAGGGAAUCUUCCGCAAUGGGCGAAAGCCUGACGGAGCAACGCCGCGUGAGUGAUGAAGGUCUUCGGAUCGUAAAACUCUGUUAUUAGGGAAGAACAAAUGUGUAAGUAACUAUGCACGUCUUGACGGUACCUAAUCAGAAAGCCACGGCUAACUACGUG
rnacentral:rRNA from 1 species